rnacentral:lncRNA from 1 species
ACAUCUAGUAGUCACAUAAUAUCACACAUGCAAGAUGCAAUUGUGCUUAGUACCAAAUGUUAUGCUCCCACAGAAGUUCAAGGAACCUUGUCGCAUUACGCGAAAAACCGGCGGGAAACGAAAACAACAGAGCCGCCACCGUGCGUUAUUUAUCCCAAAAGGGGGAAAGGAAACGCUGGAAGUAAACCUGGGAAAGACAUGGUCUCAC